UGGAAUCGGAUUCACUGCUUGAUUAUGCCGUUUUCCAGCUGUCACCCAAGCGCUCCCGAUGCGAAUUGUUUGUUUCUCGCGGUGGAAACACGGAGAAACUAGCAUCAGGAUUGUUGAAGCCUUUUGUGACCCAUUUGAAAAUUGCAGAAGAGCAAGUUGCAUUGGCUGUUCAAUCUAUUAAGCUUGAAGUUGAAAGGCGCAAAAAGGCUGAAUCAUGGUUCACGAAAGGAACCCUAGAAAGGUUUGUGAGGUUUGUCAGCACGCCAGAAGUUCUGGAGCUAGUCAAUACAUUAGAUGCAGAAAUGUCCCAGCUUGAAGCAGCCCGCAAGUUAUAUUCACAGGGAGCAGGCAACCAGUUCAAUGGGAAUGGUAGUGGUGGAUCUGGGGUUACCAUAACAGCUGAUGCGACAAAGAAGGAGCUACUGCGAGCAAUUGAUGUGAGGCUCACUACAGUUCAACAGGACUUAUCUACAGCUUGUUCUCGUGCAGCAGCUGCUGGUUUCAAUCUGGAGACAGUAGCUGAACUUCAAACUUUUUCAGAAAGGUUUGGUGCCCCUAGAUUGAACGAGGCCUGCAACAAAUUUUUAACCUUAAAGGAGAGGCGGCCAGAAUUUAUCAGCUUACGUAAAGUAUCUGGAAGAGAUGAUGGAGCCGUACGAUGUUCUUAUGGAUCAGACAUGUCAAUUGAUGAGGACCCAACUACUCCCGACCAACGACCUACUGGGUCCCACUCUGCCGGCUUUGAGAAGUCCUCAACGUGUCAGCAACCACAAUCCCAUGAGUCCAGCGUGGAACCAGAAGAAAAGGACUCCAUUGAUGAAAACGAAAAGGAGAAAGAGGAGGAGGAGGUAGAGAAAUCUGCGAAAUUGAAAAGGAGGCUGAGCGUACAGGAGCGUAUUAGCAUGUUUGAGAAUAAACAGAAGGAGAAUUCCGGGGGCAGCGGGAAGGCUGCUGUGGCGAAAACCCCUGAGCUACGUAGGUUGUCAUCUGAUGUCUCGGUGCCACCCGUGUUGAGGAGAUGG
rnacentral:misc_RNA from 1 species